GACGAACGCUGGCGGCGUGCUUAACACAUGCAAGUCGAACGGAAAGGCCCUGCUUUUGUGGGUUGCUCGAGUGGCGAACGGGGGAGUAACACGUGGUUAACCUGCCCUUGACUUUGGGAUAACUUCGGGAAACUGGGGCUAAUACCGGAUAGGAGCUCCGGCUGCAUGGUGGGGGUGGGAAAGUUUCGGCGGUUGGGGAUGGACUCGCGGCUUAUCAGCUUGUUGGUGGGGUAGUGGCUUACCAAGGCUUUGACGGGUAGCCGGCCUGAGAGGGUGACCGGCCACAUUGGGACUGAGAUACGGCCCAGACUCCUACGGGAGGCAGCAGUGGGGAAUAUUGCACAAUGGGCGGAAGCCUGAUGCAGCAACGCCGCGUGCGGGAUGACGGCCUUCGGGUUGUAAACCGCUUUCGCCUGUGACGAAGCGUGAGUGACGGUAAUGGGUAAAGAAGCACCGGCUAACUACGUG
rnacentral:rRNA from 1 species